AUUGAACGCUGGCGGCAGGCCUAACACAUGCAAGUCGAGCGGAGGAAGGGAGCUUGCUCCUGGAUUCAGCGGCGGACGGGUGAGUAAUGCCUAGGAAUCUGCCUGGUAGUGGGGGAUAACGUCCGGAAACGGGCGCUAAUACCGCAUACGUCCUGAGGGAGAAAGUGGGGGAUCUUCGGACCUCACGCUAUCAGCUUAGCCUAGGUCGGAUUAGCUAGUUGGUGGGGUAAAGGCCUACCAAGGCGACGAUCCGUAACUGGUCUGAGAGGAUGAUCAGUCACACUGGAACUGAGACACGCUCCAGACUCCUACGGGAGGCAGCAGUGGGGAAUAUUGGACAAUGGGCGAAAGCCUGAUCCAGCCAUACCGCGUGUGUGAAGAAGGUCUUCGGAUUGUAAAGCACUUUAAGUUGGGAGGAAGGGCAGUAAGUUAAUACCUUGCUGUUUUGACGUUACCAACAGAAUAAGCACCGGCUAACUUCGUG
rnacentral:rRNA from 1 species